rnacentral:rRNA from 1 species
AUGGAUCCGCCGCACCCUCCACACCACCACCACCACCACAGGCUCCACCUCCGCCUCGACCCCGGCCACCACCACCGCAUCCACAUCCACCUCCGCCACCACGCCGCCCACCUCCUCCCCGCCGCCGCUCCCUGUGCCCACCACCACCACCACGCAUCGGUUCCUCUUCCUCCUCCCCACCCGCCGACCGCGGCGGAAGGACCCCUCGCGGGGCCGCAGGGAGAGGCGGCGAGGGACGCGGAGGAGCCGGCGCCGCAGGCGGAGCGAGGAGAGGAAGUUUACCUCGGGCAAGAAGGGUGGGAAGAGGAGGAGGAGCCGGUGUUCGUCCUGACGGAGGAGUGGGCCGAGUUCUUCGCCAAGGCCGACGCCAAGAGGAGGCUGGCCAAGCAGCAGAAGAAGAACCGGAAGAAAUAG